rnacentral:rRNA from 1 species
UGGGGAAUUUUGGACAAUGGGCGCAAGCCUGAUCCAGCCAUUCCGCGUGCAGGAUGAAGGCCCUCGGGUUGUAAACUGCUUUUGUACGGAACGAAAAGGCCUAGGCUAAUACCUUGGGCUCAUGACGGUACCGUAAGAAUAAGCACCGGCUAACUACGUGCCAGCAGCCGCGGUAAUACGUAGGGUGCAAGCGUUAAUCGGAAUUACUGGGCGUAAAGCGCGCGCAGGCGGUGAUGUAAGACGGAUGUGAAAUCCCCCGGGCUCAACCUGGGAACUGCAUUCGUGACUGCAUCGCUGGAGUGCGGCAGAGGGGGGAUGGAAUUCCGCGUGUAGCAGUGAAAUGCGUAGAUAUGCGGAGGAACACCGAUGGCGAAGGCAAUCCCCUGGGCCUGCACUGACGCUCAUGCACGAAAGCGUGGGGAGCAAACAGGAUUAGAUACCCUGGUAGUCCACGCCCUAAACGAUGUCAACUGGUUGUUGGUCCUUCACUGGAUCAGUAACGAAGCUAACGCGUGAAGUUGACCGCCGUGGGGAGUACGGCCGCAAGGUUGAAACUUAAAUGAAUUGACGGGGUCAUAGCUGUUUCCU